rnacentral:rRNA from 1 species
AUUGAACGCUGGCGGCAUGCUCUACACAUGCAAGUCGAACGGCAGCGCGGGCUUCGGCCUGGCGGCGAGUGGCGAACGGGUGAGUAAUACAUCGGAACGUGCCCAGUAGUGGGGGAUAGCUCGGCGAAAGCCGGAUUAAUACCGCAUACUACCUGAGGGUGAAAGCGGGGGAUCUUCGGACCUCGCGCUCUUGGAGCGGCCGAUGGCAGAUUAGCUAGUUGGUGGGGUAAAGGCCUACCAAGGCGACGAUCUGUAGCUGGUCUGAGAGGACGACCAGCCACACUGGGACUGAGACACGGCCCAGACGCCUAAGGGAGGCAGCAGUGGGGAAUGUUGGACAAUGGGCGAAAGUAUGAUCCAGCAAGGCCGCGUGUGUGAUGAAGGCCUUCGGGUUGUAAAGAACUUUUGGCGGGAACGAAAAGGACUGUGCCAAUACCACGGUUCGAUGACGGUACCCGGAGAAUAAGCACCGGCUAACUACGUG